UACAGAGGCCUCGAGCGUUAGGCGGAAUCACUGGGCUUAAAGCGUGUGUAGGUGGAUGCCUAAGUACCUUGUGAAAUCCCAUGGCUUAACCAUGGAAUUGCUUGGUAUACUGGGUGUCUUGAGCCACUCAGGGGCGAGCGGAACAAACGGUGGAGCGGUGAAAUGCGUAGAUAUCAUUUGGAACGCCAAUGGUGAAAACAGGUAGCUGGGGCUGUGCUGACACUGAGACACGAAAGCCAGGGGAGCAAACGGG
rnacentral:rRNA from 1 species